rnacentral:rRNA from 1 species
GAUGAACGCUAGCUACAGGCUUAACACAUGCAAGUCGAGGGGAAACGAUAGAGAAAGCUUGCUUUUUCUAGGCGUCGACCGGCGCACGGGUGAGUAACGCGUAUCCAACCUGCCCAUCACUUGGGGAUAACCUUGCGAAAGUAAGACUAAUACCCAAUGAUAUCCCUAGAAGACAUCUGAAGGAGAUUAAAGAUUUAUCGGUGAUGGAUGGGGAUGCGUCUGAUUAGCUUGUUGGCGGGGUAACGGCCCACCAAGGCGACGAUCAGUAGGGGUUCUGAGAGGAAGGUCCCCCACAUUGGAACUGAGACACGGUCCAAACUCCUACGGGAGGCAGCAGUGAGGAAUAUUGGUCAAUGGGCGAGAGCCUGAACCAGCCAAGUAGCGUGCAGGAUGACGGCCCUAUGGGUUGUAAACUGCUUUUAUAAGGGAAUAAAGUGAGCCUCGUGAGGCUUUUUGCAUGUACCUUAUGAAUAAGGACCGGCUAAUUCCGUGCCAGCAGCCGCCGUAA